UGCCGACGUGUCCUUCUAGAAUAUCGCGUCUGGAAAUUACCAGAACAUACGGCUAUACGGCGCCAGACGCAAGCAGACAGUCGCGGCGCCAGACUCAGCAAUUGUUUAACUAGACGAGCAGACAGUGUGGCGCCAGAUGUCUACAACAAGACAAAUGCUAUUCCAUAUACCUACAGCUAUUGUUCAUAAUCAGGGAUGCAUAUAGUAAUACAAAUACAACUUAAUACUACUUUUUGUAACAAUAUUUAAUAAAUUCCAACAAUCCAUCUUCUUAAAUUACGUUGGACGUGAUCUUUAGAUGAGUGGAAUCGAAUCACGUUCAGCUUCACAAAACUGUUCAGAAAAAAAGGUUUUAUAACUCAGUUACUAAUUAAGCUAAAGAAUUAAGUGUAUGCAAAAAACGUUAUUAAAAGCCAUGUAAUUGGACAAUGAGAUAUAUUAAUGAAAUUCAGAGAGUAUAUCUUUCGGAUAAUUAUGUGCACAGUUGGCAAAAAUGGGUAAAAUCUUGGUAAUACUUUCUCUAGUCUCCAUAUAUCUACAUAACUUAAGAUUAUCUAGUUGCCUUUAUACCGUAUAUAUCAGUUAUACCAAAAUUAGAAAAAGUAAGUGAUCACGAAAUAUCAGAUAUAUGUACUUGUACUACAGUUUUGUGCCGGAAAUAUGUCAGUUUGUGUGUGUUAUAAGUAUUAAAUUGCCGAAAAAAUGUUUUCGAGUAUACUUUACAUUUUUUAUAUUUGUCAAUAUGUGUGAUUUUUUUAGUGAAAAUAAGUAGAUAACUUUUUUCAUAUAGCGCUGAAAAGUAAUUCAAUCGGUCUAGACAUUGAGCUAAACCUCAUACAGCUAAUAAAAGAGCCUUAUCGUGAACUUCGCGUGAAUAAAUCGUUCCCAUUUAUUUUCACGCGAACGAAAAAUUCGUAUCACAAAUAUUCGAAGUUCGAUUAUACUUUUGUGCAUUUCGGAAAGCCGUCACAUAUGGUUUUACUUUACUUUAGUGGCAUUGAAAAAAAUGUAAACUUAUAAAGCCAUAUAAAUUCUUAUUUUGUUUACACAAAUGAUUCUUCAGUCGAUACAUACAUUUUUUCUGGCAGCAGUUUAAAGCAUGCAAUUUUGCAAAUACAUUUAGCAACGCAUUAAAGAAAUAUUGGUUGCAGGUUGUUUUAGCGUAAAAUUCAAUGGAUUUGCUUAUUUAAAGUUAAUUUAGUUUUUAUUAAUUAUAACGUUUAAUAAAGAUAAAUUUUGUGUCCAUUUUAACUGUUCAUUUAAUUCAAUUCGGAUUUUAUUAAUUAUAACUAUAAUCAAAAAGAUCCCGGCUAGUAUAUCGCUGCAAAUUAGAAAACGAAGAAGUUGCAAUAAGUAUUCGAGGUCGCUGGUGAGUGUCCGGUUGAACAUGGAAAGAGAGUUUUCGGCAGGGCGAAAAAAGAUGUCAUUUCUGUGGGGCCAAGUUCUUCGAGAGAUGCAGAAAGUUCAGCUGGACUUUAAUCAAACAAAGGAAAAGAUUUCCCGGAAGUUUCUGAGGGAAAAUUUUAGUGUACCGUCCCAGGAUUUCGGGAAUAAAACGGGUAUCGUCGGAUACAGGAGAUUCUCCAGAUCAAGAUAUAGUUUUCGAGAUAUUCGCGUUUAAAGUUGAAAAUUACCACUAUUUGAAGUACGUAUUUUCUCGAUAUAAAAUUAGUUUAGCACUUAUAUUUUGCACUUUUAUAUCCACUAGCACUUCACUAAUUCAUUUGUACAUAUUUAUUUAACAUUAUACAAAAACAGUUUUAAUUCAAUAUUUAACUUAUUGUUAAAAUUUAUUUACCUAACAGUAACGAAAGAACUACAAACGGUCAAAUAUGAUCAGAUGUUAGAGAGGUUGUUAUACCCUCUAUGGCAUUGCUACUUCUUCGCGUAUGGCUCUUUUUUGCAUGUAUCAACUUUUUUUCGCGUUGAAUUUCUUUUUAGGUGGGCGGCCUUCGGCCGCUCUUCAAAAAAACUAACCCUGGUCGGACAAGCACGGGGGUGUAUCAGAUUUUUUUCGCGUUGAACUCCUUUUUGCGUGGGCGGCCUUCGGCCGCGCUUCAAAAAAAAACCCUGGUCGGACAAACACAGGGGUGUAUCAAUUUUUUUUUUCACGUUGAACUUAUUUUUGCUUAUAUUAGUUUGGUAACACUGAUUAUUUGACUCAUUUGUUAUUCUUAAAUAAUCAGAAUUCAACAAUAAGUUAAAUGUAUACUAAAAGCUAUUUUUGCACUAUAUUAUAUAAAAUAAGUGUGUACAAACGAAUUAGUGAAGUACUAGUGGAUAUACAAGUGCAAAAUUAAUUUUAUAUUGAGAAAAUACGUUUUUCAAAUAGUGGUAAUUUUCAACUUCAAACGCAAAUAUCUCGAAAACUAUCCCUAUCCGACCAUACCCAUUUUAUUCCCGAAAUCCUGGGACGGUAUACUAAAGCCGACCCGUUUCUGAUUUUUUUGACCACGUAUAAACGCACCAAACAGCGGAAUAACCAAACCGGCCGUAACGUUACUAUAUUGGCAUUUUUUAACGAAUUUGAUGCAGUAUUUGGCGUACGACGUACGUCAUUCAAACAAUUCACCACUAAAUAUUCUGCAAUCGUCUCUCCAAAAUACCUUCAAGGAAACAAUAACAGUGACGGGGGAUAAUUUAAACGAUUCGCCCAGUGCUGGCGCUAAAAAGAGAAUAGUGAAUUCUGGCAAUGAAACACUUAAAUUUUUAAGAUAUGCGGAAGAAAAGGAGCAAAAAAGUCGAAAUUGAACAAUAACGGAUUAAGGCACUUAUUGAUUUGAAAAAUAUUUUACAAAAUAAUAUUUAAGUUUUACAUUAAAAGUUAAAAUAAUCAUCUAUAUAUAUGUAUAUAUGUGACAUUAAUACUAAUAUAUUGUUACAAAAGUA